ensembl:lncRNA
CUACCUGACACAAACACUCCUGGCCUGCCACUCAUUGAAGACUUUGGUUAAUGAGAGUAAACGGAGCAGCCCACUGUUGUGUUGUCUUUGAAUUUUCAUAACUUUGACCGAGCUCCAUCAGGUAGCUCUAAUACGACUACAACGAACAUCCUGUGAGCAGUUGAGUGGCUAAAAGCAACGGAGUCAGAAGCCGGCAGGACUUCGCCAGGUUUUGCUAUUUAACUAGCUGAGUGAUUCGCCCAAGCCGUUGACCCGCUCUUUGUGCCCUGCUUUCUACCUGUAAAUUAGGGAUCACUGCAAGGACCUCGUGGGGCUGUAGCAAGAUUGAAUGAAACCGUGGAAAUAAAGGACUUGACACAAGGCCUGCACAGAGAAUGGAUUCCACUAAUGGUUCCCAUCAUUAUUAAUCUGUCUGGAAAGCAUUUGAUUCAGGAAAUGUAAGUGGUGAUGCUUUUCUCCUCACUUAAGGUAGAGGAUGCAGUGUGGAUGAGCACAAGUCUUACAGAGAGGUGCGGAGGAAGGGGCGGGGACGUGGUGACCAGGAACUGUCCAAGCAGGCUUCUCGGUUUCCUCAAGUCCUUCUCAUUCAUGUUGUUGGUCUUAUACUUAGGGAAAUUUUGAGAAAGCCCUCCCAUUUACAAGGUUUUGUGGUUCUCCAUGGAUUGUUGGAGAAAGAAGAGAAAGAGCAUUAAGAAAGUAAUUUGGUUAGAUAAACCCUAAGGCUCCUUCUAGUCUUAAAAUAGUUAUUUUUCUGAGUUCUCUGCUGCAUCAGUGAAAUCCGCAAAGAUAAUAAGGAUAAGUCAGUCAAUUACAUGCCUUUCACAGCAAGGUUCUGACUUAGGAAUUCCAGCUCACUGGACCAACCCACCGUAGAUUGUGUUAUAAAGACCUGGUGCAUUAUGUUAGGCUCAUUUUAGGGAAUAGCAAAGGGAAUGCGAUGUUCCUUAGACCAUCCAUCCAGUCAACCCAGACUUUAACAGAAGGCCCCAGGAAACGAAGGAAACUUUGGAAAUUUUGUGUUUGACUUUGGUACUUCCCUACAACCCAAGGAAGUUAGGAUUAGAAGGCCUGCCCAAGGACAAGGGACACUGGGGAUUGGAGAUGUUAAAGAACAUCUGAAGGUCACACAGAUACAAAUGGUGGUGGCAGCCAGUGGAAUUCAAAUCUAUUUUUUUACUGCCCCAGAGAGUAGUAAUGACCCAAGUUUCCAGGGACCCUCUCUGUGACAAUGAUAGGGAUCCGCUGAGCCUGAUGAGAUGGGAAUUUAUUCCAAGCUCCAGCAACAGUUUCAUAGGAAAGCUAGACAAAAAGCCUCAGAGUCUUGUAUGAACUAAUGGUCCUGUUUCCAAGAUGAACACUGUUUGUGUUAGCAAAAGGAAACUUCUGUGGGGGGUAAAAGAAGAAAAAGAAAACACAUCAGUUCUGGAUCUAAAUUGCAGUAAGGAGAACAUAUCCCGAAUUGAAUAACUUAGGAAUCACUCUUUUCCCAAGAGAAAACAGGUUACUUCUGAGAAACAAGCUUGAAAUCUCUGCACCUGGGGCAACUUCCGGAGGUUUUCAUCCUGGCCAGGUGGGGGAAAAGAAAUGCUGAUCGUCAGUGGAUAAACAGUGACAUCCAGUGGCCAAUUAAAUUAACCAACUGCAUUCUGUCAGUUCAACUAUCUAAAUAGAAAAAAACUUUAAUAGUAUGUAUUUUGUUAUUCAACAGACUCUUUCUGAAUAACUAGAAAACGUAGAUAUUAUGCUAGCCAUUGGGUCAUACCCUUCAAGCCUGCAGAGAUCUCCCCCACCAAAACCAACCCCUGAAAAAGGAACAGGAGAAUAUCUGGAGCUAUGAUCCUCUUCCGAAGGCUCAAGGUGACCCAGCCAGAGGCAUCAGAGAAUUGCAAGGGAAGUAAAAGGCUUUGCCUGGCUUUAUGAGCAAAUCAAGACCCCAUGUGACUGGCUGAGUGUGAAUGUCAAAGUCCUCACCAGUGCACGUUGAUUCAAAUCACAGCUGUUUGCAUACGCUGUAACCUGGGCAAGGUUAAUGGUCAGGCAAGUUGCUGACCUCACAAGGUUGUGUCUUCUUCAUAAAACAAGGUCAUUUUAUUCACCACACAAGCUCCGAAAAUUCUCUUUUUUUAGAGUUAUGGAGCAACUUCUAUGAACCCAGCCGACUGCAAGCUUUGUGCCAGGUCGUCCGUCACUCAAUAAACGGCACCCUCUGUUCCCCCUCCUCUGCUCCCCAGUUUACUGUCUCCAGAGUCAGGAGGGUUAAUCCUUCUUCCAACUGGACCAGUUACGCUUCUGCAGAACUCCCUCACUUCCUGUUGCAGCUCACAAGCAGGAGCUAAGAGCCGUAAAGACCAAGUUGCUGCCAGUACUUACCAUUACAUUAGAAAGCCUAUAUUUCAAAUGUAUGGAGAUAAGUUAUGCCUGUGACAGAGACGUUAAAUCGCAGCUGCUGUGGUUCCUGGACUUUAUUUACUGAAUUCGGUCUUGCACAGAACUUCAUUGUUUUCAUUUUAGAUCAGAUUCUUUCGAAUCUGAAGGAGUGCCUGGUUCAAGAAUUUAAUACCAGAGUAUCUACGACUAUUCCAAAAUUAGAUUCUUUAAUUACUUCACUCAAGACAGUAACCAACUCAAAACAAAAAUAAAUCUUGUUGUUACUCUGAUUUAAUUAACAAGGAGUUUGACUGGACUCAUCUUUCAGAAGGAGUUCAUGGCAUUUGCACCACAAUGGGCCAUAUCCCCUCACCAAACGGAGGCUGCCCUCCCAAAAUGAAUGAGUAUUUUGCUUAUUCAGAUUGAGAAGUAAAAGGAACACAAAAGAUGUAACAUGUGUGACAUUUAAUUAUGAGAUGCCCUCACUGUUAACUAAAUAAAAACAUUAAAAACUCCAUCUUUAAAAAGAUAAGUAAUAAAUGAUCAGAGUUCAGACCCCAUAGCUGUUGGAUUUCAACCAAGAUCUUUUAAUUAAAUCUGGAAUAUGGCCACACUAGAAGCAGUUAAUAUUUUCAAAUAAAGCAAUUCUUUAUCUAAGAUGAAAAGCAUUAAAGAUUCAUGUUAUGUAUUGGACAUCCACAUCCUACAAUAAGAAAAUCAGCUGAGGCCUUUACAUAUUCAAUAAUAAGGUUCAAAGAAAGGGAAUCUCUGUGAGCCAGGCAACCAGAAACUACGUUCAUGAGAACACACCAUUCUCUAAGCAUUUUAGGGAAUCAGGAUCUUUCUACCUUGUGUCUUUGUGAGCCCUCAAAAACUACAGUUAGCAGAGAAUAUCCUUGAAUCUAUGAUAUUCAUCUUCUGAAGCAAAAAAUACCGUCAAGGGACUCUGUGAAUGUAACUUUGUAAUAUGAUUCAGCUGCUAACCCUGUGGAAGCAGCUUGGGCUUAGU